rnacentral:rRNA from 1 species
AUUGAACGCUGGCGGCAGGCCUAACACAUGCAAGUCGAACGAGUGGCGGACGGGUGAGUAAUGUCUGGGAAACUGCCUGAUGGAGGGGGAUAACUACUGGAAACGGUAGCUAAUACCGCAUACCAUCGGAUGUGCCCAGAUGGGAUUAGCUUGUUGGUGGGGUAGCGGCUCACUAAGGCGACGAUCCCUAGCUGGUCUGCGGGGAUGACCGGCCAAACUGGAACUGGGACACGGUCCAGACUCCUACGGGAGGCAGCGGUGGGGAAUAUUGCACAAUGGGCGCAAGCCUGAUGCAGCCAUGCCGCGUGUAUGAAGAAGGCCUUCGGGUUGUAAAGUACUUUCAGCGGGGAGGCGGUACCCGCAGAAGAAGCACCGGCUAACUCCGUGCCAGCAGCCGCGGUAAUAC